CGGCCCGUACCCUAAACCGACUCAGGUGGUCAGGUAGAGAAUACCGAGGCGUUCGGGUGAACUAUGGUUAAGGAACUCGGCAAAAUGCCCCCGUAACUUCGGGAGAAGGGGGGCCACACCUGGUGAAGGGAUUUACUCCUGGAGCUGGGGGUGGCCGCAGAGACCAGCGAGAAGCGACUGUUUACUAAAAACACAGGUCCGUGCGAAGCCGUAAGGCGAUGUAUACGGACUGACGCCUGCCCGGUGCUGGAACGUUAAGGGGACCGG
rnacentral:rRNA from 1 species